UACAGAGGUCCCAAGCGUUGUUCGGAUUCACUGGGCGUAAAGGGUGCGUAGGCGGUCGGGUAAGUCUGAUGUGAAAUCUCACAGCUUAACUGUGAAACUGCAUUGGAUACUAUUCGGCUUGAGAGUUGGAGGGGGGACUGGAAUUCUUGGUGUAGCAGUGAAAUGCGUAGAUAUCAAGAGGAACACCUGAGGUGAAGACGGGUUGCUGGGCUGACACUGACGCUGAGGCGCGAAGGCCAGGGGAGCAAACGGG
rnacentral:rRNA from 1 species